GGCCGUUUCUAACCAUUCUCAUGGGUUCGCAGUAGAGAGUCUGCUGUAAAUGACCGUCUGAAGAAAAUUUAAAGUUUCCUCAGAUUGCUUCCUAUGGAAGCAUCCAUAAUUUCUACUUAAAAUAAAGAAAUUGAAAUCUCAUAAAACCUGUAAAUCCAGCGAGUGGUGGCCUAUGAGAGCAGGAACCAAGUCUGUUUUGUUCGUUCUUAUAUCUACGGUGCUUUACACAGCGGCAUGGGCCGUUGAUAAAUAUUUGUUGCAUUAAUGUGUGAGUGGAAACCAGGACAAGACAACCGGACUGCUCUGUAUACCUUUAGCACUUAGAUUUACAUAAGCAACAUCUAUUGCUUUUGAGCAAAUUCAGUAAUUAUUGGAUACCUUCUACCCGUAAGGGAGCAUGCAAGAUAACAGGGAUAAAGGGAUCCGUUAAGACGAAUGAUACGACUCCUGCCUAAAGUCAUUGGUUAUUACAGUUUAAUAUCAUUGAAGUAAGAUUGCAGGACAUUACGAAGGAAUGCGGGAUUUCAUCUGAUGGAACCUUUAAAUGCUUUACAAUUUCAUCCUGCAGCUCGAAUUUCACAAUGCUGGGAUCCAGAAAGCAUUAGUGGUUAGACACACUCAGCGGUGCAGGUAUAAUGUGGACAUCUUUUCUUCUGUGUAUUCUGAGUCCCAAGUAUCCUAUAAGCUACGAUUGAAAUACAUACAGGACUUAUAAAGAUGUCUCACUGAUCGGGAUCACAGGACAGAUCUGUGUGCACUGUGACUAAAUAAAAACAAGACUAUUGGCAAGCUGGAUGCUUUUUCUCUGCCAACCACAGUUUUUUCGGCAACUCCUUUUUAACCAAAAUCUAGAAUCUUUGAGUGACAAUUGUAACACCAGAACACCAUCUGGGAAGUGCCCUGGAAAUGCUCUUGUUACAUGGCGCUGGUUGGAGGACCAUCUUGGAUGGUCCUGAGAAAGGAAUCAAGAACAAAGGACAUUAAAAUGAAACUAUUCUGUUUGUGUAAUAAAUAGCAAUCAUUACUUUGUUCUUAUCAUUUUUAGAAAUUAACUCUUAAGUGUACUUGGGUGAUUUAGUUGAACAUUCAAUCCUUGAUUUCAGCUCAGGUCAACAAUCUCAAGGUCGUGA